GGAUCCCGAUGAGGAGGGCCAGCCCCCUGCUACAGAGGCAGGCAACCCCUCCCCCCAGUCUGACCAGGGGGUCAAAUUUCUUCCUGACCCCGAAUAUGGGGGCAAUGGGCAAGAAGAUAGCGAAGAGAUCCAAGAUCAAGUCUUUUGUGAAUGUUUAUAACUACAACCGCCUCAUGCCACCAGGAUUUUUUUUGGUUCACCUGGAGAAUUAAUGUACCCUAUGAACCAGGAAACUCAGCCUGUGCCUGCAUUCACAUGGAAAGAAGGUAAUAGAAACGAGGCAUAGUCACUCCCUUGGAGAUACUGAUCCUGAGAGCAGCAGAGCUGAUUGCGUAACACAAAAAAGGAAGCAGGAAGACUGUGUAGCUAAGUCACUUAAGUGUAACUUUCUUCUUCUCCACAUCUGAGUUCACAUGGUUGAAGAGAGGUCAGCUGUCCCUGGAUUGAUGGAAUGCCCAUUGAAACAUCUGACUAUGAAAGGGCAUAGAAUAUGGGUCCUGACACGCACCAUUAUUGUAACUUGGUGUGCAAUGACAACAUUAAAAAUGGCCCCAGGAUUUAAAGAACAAGAACAGGUAAGAGAUACUACGGAGAGCCAGAAGAAGGCAUUACCUUAGAAUUUCUGUUUUUUUCUUAGACUUCUUUGAGAGGGUAGAGGGCGGAGAAAACAGUUUACAGGUGUGGGUUAAUGUUUAUGGCCUUGAGGGUCUAAGAGAGGAGUAUUGUCCCAUGAUGUGUGUAGAAAUAAGGCAGAAAGAUGGUUUCCUUGCUACAAAAUUUGGAACCUGAUCCAAUGACAAGAGGUUUUGGCUUAUUUCCAAUAAGGAACACAUGAUAUUUACCACAGGAAUUAUGAGGGAAAGAAUUUGUGGGUAUGUAAAAUGUGUCCAUCAAAUUCAACUCUGAUAUUUCCUUAGUACAGGGAAAUGAAUUGCAUUAAUUCAAUGUAAACAAAAGAUGUCACUGUCAGACAGAAAAGGCCGGAGAUUGAGCUAAAAGCUGAUUAUAUGGAACCUGUUCAAGUGAUACAUUCAUGAUUAUUUUUAGUUUAUUUGUGUGUAGAAGGGGAAAUCACUGAAGAUACUCUGUGAAAUUUUUACUUGUGAAAAAAUUUGAAUCUGACUUAUGAGGUUGCUUUGUUUCUUUGAAUAUUUUAUAGUAAUGCUUCCAAGUUCUUGUAAAUGCCCCCACACUUUAUGUUCAUCCUGUCAUGUGAGAUUACUCUGUAACCUAAAGGAGAUGCUGAGUGAAUCACUCCAUCAGUAUGAAAGAAGAAGAAAACGGUAAAUAGAAAGCAUGUGAGCUGUGGUGACAGACCGUAGGGAGGGUAACAGAGAACAGGGGAAGUUUAUACACUGGUUUGUAUAGGGCUAUGCCAAGUAUUUUAGCAAAAAUAUUACAGUGUACUUCCAAAAUAUAUUAGAGUAUAUUACCGAAGUAUAUUAGUGCAGUGUGGGACUCAGUCCUCAUGUGCUCACUGAAAUCAAACUUUGAUUGACUCAUGGGUACAGGAUUGGAGCUGAAUACUGUAUUUGGGAUUAACAGUAAAAAUGAUGUUUCCCCUCCCAUGAAGAGCAAUUCUUCGCAAAAAAAAGAUGCCUUUUCAGAAGACCAAGUGUGGCUUCCCCCAACUUCCAUAAUCAGUCAUACUCUUCUCUCUUAGUACUCAGUCACUAAUCAUCACAAAUCAUGGGUCCCACCCAUAGGUCAAUCUAGAAUUUUGGAAAGGCGGGGGUGCACAUGGUGAGGUGCAUCAUCACAUACAAAACAACACAUGUCUUUAUCCAGGUAAAAAGAAACUAGAAACUUUAUUAAUAUGCUAGGGGUCCCUCAGCUGCACUAUUCAAUUUAAGAUUGGCCAAAAAAACUAAUAUAACUUAAUUGAAAUGAGUUAAAAACAAUCUGCAGGGCUGUGAAAUAGGAGCUUCAUUACCAGGAUCAGCUAACAGACAGCUGAAUUUCAGAACAAAGGCUAGCUUGAGUGGUGAAACAUCAAGACCAUUAAAAAGGAGAGAGGGUUGUUAACACCUGUGAAUGAAAGGUUUAGAAGGGAUCAGGUAGAGAAUAAUGAGCCAUGAAGUCAAGUGACUGCCUCAGCACUGCUUGACUAGAAAUGCUGCUGCCACUGCCAGGCAGUUGGUUUUAGACUUUGGGUUGAUCAGAAAUCAAAGGGGAUGGAGGGUGCAAGUACACCCUCCCUGGAUCUGCUCCUGGUCCCAUCUCAAAGUCAUGACUCAGGGCUAAAUUUUGCUCUUUCAGCUAUCCUCUUAAAUUCAGCUACUCUCUGAGUUCAUACCCGUGAAGCCAUGAACACCUCAUGUCUCCUGAGGCUGGGAGGGGGCACGGCAACUG